UAUCAGUGCUGGGUCAUUUGCAGAGCUAGCAAGGAUUUUCUCUCGCCCACAGGUCACCGAGCAAAGUUGUUUUGUGUCCAUGCAUCAGAGCUCCCAUCCUGGGACAUAAUAAGGGGAGGAUUUGUAGGCAUUGGCCCCUAGACGAUCUCAUGAAGCGGCGAUUCCAAAUGAGGAUAACGCAAAACGCCGUGCUCAUGCUUUGGAAGGAAACAGCGGCUUUGCUUUUAUAUUUGCUCGGGGAAAGGCGGGAACUUAACCAAGUUGUGCUCAUGGGCUUUUCUGGCACUAUCAUUGCUUAACAUACAUAGCCUGAAUGUUUCUC